GGGGAAUCUUCCGCAAUGGGCGAAAGCCUGACGGAGCGACGCCGCGUGCGGGAUGAAGGCCUUCGGGUUGUAAACCGCUGUCAGUGGGGAGGAAAUGCAUGGGGGUUCUCCCUCGUGUUUGACCGAUCCGCAGAGGAAGCACAGGCUAAGUUCGUGCCAGCAGCCGCGGUAACACGAACUGUGCAAACGUUAUUCGGAAUCACUGGGCUUAAAGAGUUCGUAGGCGGCACGUUAAGUCGGGUGUGAAAUCCCUCGGCUCAACCGAGGAAUUGCGUCCGAAACUGGCGUGCUUGAGUAAGAUAGAGGUGAGCGGAACUGAUGGUGGAGCGGUGAAAUGCGUUGAUAUCAUCAGGAACACCGGUGGCGAAAGCGGCUCACUGGGUCUUAACUGACGCUGAGGAACGAAAGCUAGGGGAGCGAAAGGGAUUAGAUACCCCUGUAGUC
rnacentral:rRNA from 1 species